CGUUAAUCGGAAUUACUGGGCGUAAAGCGUGCGCAGGCGGUUCGUCGUGUCCGAUGUGAAAGCCCCGGGCUCAACCUGGGAAUGGCAUUGGAAACUGGCGGACUCGAGUGUGGCAGAGGGGGGUGGAAUUCCGCGUGUAGCAGUGAAAUGCGUAGAGAUGCGGAGGAACACCGAUGGCGAAGGCAGCCCCCUGGGCUAACACUGACGCUCAGGCACGAAAGCGUGGGGAGCAAACAGG
rnacentral:rRNA from 1 species